UCGUCCUCAUUAUGAUGAUUUUGAUUUCGACAGCGUAAUACACAAAACACAAAUUUAUAGUUGAUUAGUUAUCCUUCAUUGUCGGGUUCCAUGGCCUGCAUAACAUGUUCCCAUAGUCAAUAUCUGAAAGUGCACUGUUGACUGUUUAAACUUUGCAUAAUGUUAUACAGGUAAUUAUGGUAUCGCUAGUUCUUGAAUCUAUAAAUGCUAGGAUAAUUGUGUUGUUCCCAAUUAUAACGUUCUGAAACUACAUCUUACAUCACGUUUCACUCGGUUUCUUUUGUUCGUACCCGCGGAACG
rnacentral:lncRNA from 1 species